rnacentral:rRNA from 1 species
CCUACGGGAGGCAGCAGUAGGGAAUCUUCCACAAUGGGCGCAAGCCUGAUGGAGCAACACCGCGUGAGGGAAGAAGGGUUUCGGCUCGUAAAGCCCUGUUGUUGGAGAAGAACGUGCGUGAGAGUAACUGUUCACGCAGUGACGGUAUCCUACCAGAAAGUCACGGCUAACUACGUGCCAGCAGCCGCGGUAAUACGGAGGUGGCAAGCAUUAUCCGGAUUUGGUGGGCGUAAAGCGAGCGAAGGCGGUUGCGUAGGUCUGAUGUGAAAGCCUUCGGCUUAACCGAAGAAGUGCAUUGGAAACCGGGCGUCUUGAGUACAGGAGAGGACAGUGGAACUCCAUGUGUAGCGGUAGAAUGCGUAGAGA